UUUUCUUCUCUCUCUACCACGUUGUCGUUGUAAUAGUACCAUGUCCUUCUUCAAACCAGACUCAUCUUAUGAGAAAAGCUGAUGAGUGAUUCUCUUCUAAUCUGUGAAUCAUUCAAAAUGAAAAACCAUUCGUUCAUUCUCUUCGCCGAUCGCGGUCGUGCUUAGCUUGUCGGUCGCCAACCACACGUUCUGUGACCUAACGUGGAGAACGAGGAAGCUAUAGAAUAGAGACGGAUCUGCAAAGGUUGGUCUAAUGUAUGAUUGAAGCAUCUGCAAUAAUUCACAAAUUAUGUGACCCUGAUUCGAAUUUAUGUGCGAAUAAUUCACAAAAAUUACGAGGGGUGCCUUAAGCGUUUGACAUGGACAGAUUGACAUACUAACAAAUGACAAAUAUCUUGUUGUAGCGCUCAAAAACAGAUUUCAUGCUGCCAGAGACAAUACAAAGAGUAUAUUAGUAUUUUUCUUUGUAAGUAAAAGAUGUGGAUCAACACGUUGCAAAAUUCAAGUUAUUGUAAGAAGCGUCCAUCUUAUAAUCUGAGACAAACUAUGCGCAGUUUUUAAACUUCAUUAUGAUUUUAGUUUAGUCAUUCAAAGAAAUGUUGCAUUUUUUUUAGAAGAGAGUUAAGGAUGACAUCUACAUAAUGCUUAGCUUUUAAAUUGUGAAUUUAAUGUGUUAUCUUAGAAGCUUGUGACUUUAAUGUUAUUUUCAUGGUGGAGAGGAUAAAUUGUUUUAAAGUUAUUGAAGACUUUAAAGAUGUGAAAACAUCCUAUUUUAGCAAAUCAACUACAAGUUACUCGAAGUAAAAAAUGAGUCUACAAGAAUGUCUUAUCUACAAGAAUGACUCUCUCUCUCUCUCUCUCUCUCUCUCUCUCUC